rnacentral:tRNA from 1 species
GGCGACGUAGCCAAGUGGUAAGGCGGUGGUCUGCAAAACCAUUAUUCACCGGUUCGAAUCCGGUCGUCGCCU